CAGCCGCCGCGGGAAUACGUAGGGUGCGAGCGCUAAUCGGAAUUACUGGGCGUAAAGCGAGCGCAGGCGGUUUUGUAAGACAGGCGUGAAAUCCCCGGGCUCAACCUGGGAAUGGCGCUUGUGACUGCAAAGCUAGAGUGCGGCAGAGGGGGAUGGAAUUCCGCGUGUAGCAGUGAAAUGCGUAGAUAUGCGGAGGAACACCGAUGGCGAAGGCAAUCCCCUGGGCCUGCACUGACGCUCAUGCACGAAAGCGUGGGGAGCAAACAGGAUUAGAUACCCGAGUAGUCCCUGUCUCUUAUAC
rnacentral:rRNA from 1 species